GGAAAUAAAAUAUGGAGGCAAAAGCAACAGACACCAGUUUGGUAGAGCCUGACAGAACUGCAGGAAGGAAACUGAGCCUAACCACUAAAAGAAAAACAACAGUUAGAAAAUCAGAUCAGUUAAUAAUAUAUUUUGGUUUGCUUUUUUCAAUGCAUGAGAUUUUACCAUGUUUAUGUAGUGUAGCAAAAGAAAUGCAGAGACUGAGACAUACAGUGAAGAUCAGAAGAGAUAAGUAAGCAUGAAAUGAGAUCAGCAGGCAGUCUGGACUGCUACAAGUGAUCAGAUAAGUGCAUACAAAACCCAGACAUCUGCUUUUGUGGUACAGGGUAAUGGAAAGGGCACUUCAUAAAUGCUUAAGUUUUUCCUUUAGAAAAGCUCCCUCCAGAAUCAAAGAAUUAUAGAAAAUCAUAGCAAUACAGGAAAAUGUAGGCGUGAACUGACCUCUAAAGGUCUGUUGUCCAACCUCCUACUAAAAGUAGGGGUAACUUCAAAGUUAGAUGGGUUCUUAGGGCCUCAUCAGCAUCCAUAGCAUAUAAAAUAAUAAUAAAGUCAGCAGGCAGAAACACAGUGCUCAUGGGAAACAGAUAUUUGAGAUUAAACUAUUCUCAUUAUAAUAAAACUACUUUGUGUGUCAUUAGAAAAUAAUUGAGUACAAGAAAUAAUUGACUACUGCUAGCUUGCAAUAUUUGUAAAUUCUGGAUGAUACAUUACUGAAGUGUACGUGUUUAAUAAUUUUAUUCUAUACUUUUAAGGUUUUACAUUAUUUCGAAAUUAUACUCAAUUUUUGAGCUAGCAAUUUUUAUUAUUUUUUCAGAAGAACUAGGGCUAGAGAAAUUCCUAUGUUUCUCACAAAGACUGUCCCCUAGGCUGUGUUCCCCUGGCAUUGUCUAUCAGUUUGUUUCAGGGAAUAUGUUAAAAAAAAAUCACAUACCUGUUCUAGGUACAUGCUGUAGGACACUAUAUAUAUUUCAAUAUAUAUUAUUGCCAUCUGGAAAAUAAUAAGUAGCAUGCUCAUUCUACUUUGCUCCAGAAAACCUAAACCUUUGCAUGAAGGAAUUAAAAACUGCUCUUAUGUUGUUCAUCUGUUGCUGAGAACCAAGAUAUUUAGGAAUUCAUUAUUUUGCUUUCACUAAUGUCAAAAAAAUCCUCUCGUUGACCUCAGCUGAGUGAGGUUCAGGGCUUGUCUAUAUUAAUGCAUGUACUAGAAAUGCUAUUUUUCCAAUAUAUAUAUUUCAUAGUUUUCUAGUUUUAUUUUACUAAUAACAUUGUACAAUUGUAGGUAUGACAAAUUACAGCUAGAAAGACUUCAAUUUAGGAGUCAUAAUUGUAUGCAUUCUGUUAAUAUUUCAUGACUGGGGUGAUUUAACAUUUGUACAUUGAUGGAUGACAUUCUUGCCAGAACUACAUAGGAACUGAGGACAAAAGAUAAAAUUAGAAGUAUUGCAGCUUUAUUACAACAGAUGAUUCUGUGGAAAUGGGCUUUUAGAUCUGAAAUCAAAUAUAAUUAGAAGCUUUCAGCUCUUGCAGAAAAUCCAUACUGAUUUUCAUCUUUCUCUCUUGAACAAAAGCUAUAUGUGUUUCUUUAAAUAAGAUUUAAUGUUCAACAUUAGAGAAAUGACAACUCAAAUGUCUUUUUUAGCUAAUUUAAAACUUCGCUUCUUCCUAUUGACAACUACUGUGUGUUUAAAUAAACUAAACCUGUAACAGAGAAAAGUGAUUUAUCUAAAAACUGGAUAUCAACUGGGGAAAAACAGUGAUUUUGGUAAUUUCUUUGGGUUUUUUACAUUUGGUAACUAAAACCAGAAGAAGCUAUACAGAGCAGGCGUGCAUACACACCUAUUUCUUGCAUUUGACCUUCCUUUCAUACUUCUCUUUGCAAUCUGCACUGUACAUUCCAUUAAGCCACAGUUCUGCAAAUACAGAAGUGAAUCCACAGCCACAUCUGCAGAUUAGCUUUUAGUUUAACAUUCUCUUUUCAGAGAGGGUAAUGGAGCUGACACUGGGGGCAGGCACUGUGCAUACUUGUGUUUUUAUACAGUACUCAACUUAAUGAGGUUCUAAUCCUGAUGAACCAUCUAGAUGCAGUUAAAGUAUGAAAUAAUUAUUAAUGGAAUUCCAUUAAAUUCCUUCCUUGUUCUCCUUAAAUGAUUGCUCAGAAGAUCGUCCAGUUAGAGAAAUCAAAGUCCUAAGAACCUAACUUUUUGCAUUACAUGCAACAGAAGUUCUGUUUUGCACUGUAAAAUAUGAAUACAUGUCUUCAAUAACUCAAGCCUCAAUAUCUGGAGGGGCUGACUAUAACUCAGUAAUUAGAUACAUUUAACAAGGACACCGAUGGUUAAAAUAGGGUUUGUAUACUUAGCGAUCAUGACUAUUAACUGGACUAGAGUGUGUAUUCUGGUGCACCUGAACAGAGGGACACCUGCACAAAAUUGGCACUCAGUCUAAUUAUCCAGGGUCCAUCAUACUUCGUAUUUAUGCACCCAAGUGACAGUGACUACUCUUUCUCAGCUCCUACUGAAGUUAGUGGUAUCAGAUGCACAUUUAUAAAGAUCACAUUAUUUAUGUGUCUGGACAGAAAGACUAGCUAUUGGAGUAAAAAUUUUGGCACAUGUACCUUAAAUGUAUAAAACAUUUUUGAAACUGAUCUCACCAACUUAUUUUAACCUACAAUAUCCUCACCUAUGCAAUCCUUAAAGUAGGAAUUCUUGCCAUUUUCUUACAGUUGUGCUUAAUUAAAUAAUUUUCAUUCUUCACUCUUUUUAAUAACCCUCUUUUGAGUGUGGCAUGACAUCCUGCCAGUAGAGUUAUCAUCAGUGUGCUUAAGAUCAAUACAGAUAGGACAAACUCUGUGUACAUGCCAGAUUCAGUGUAGGUAGUGAAAAAGCUUUUUGUGACUUUCAUAAAUUGCAAUAUCCACAAACAAGAGAUCCACCUCUAAGUCAAACUUCCUGCCUACGACAAAAUCUCCUCCUGUAUCUGUAGAGAAAAAACCCUUCAAUCUCUAUUUUCUGGAUUGUCAUGUUCUAGCAAGCAAGAUUAAUCUAUGUAUAAUGGGAUGCAGAUAAAGAAAGUCUCUACCUGUAGUCCAUGGCUUUAUGGUCCUGGAAUAUUUUGACCUCUCAGUCCUGUGGAGGGAAGGGGAGGGUGUUAAGCUCUCAAACCGAAUGCUUGCAUGUUUCCCACCCGCUUGCUUUCCACACCUAGGUAACGAGCUGGGGCCUAAGUAAUCCUAUUUUGAGAAAAUAUUUCUUGUCAACAUAGUGUUCUGUUUCAGGAAUAUCUGUAUGGUUGCAUAGCCCC
rnacentral:lncRNA from 1 species